rnacentral:rRNA from 1 species
GGAUGCGAUCAUAGCAGCACUAAAGCACCGGAUCCCAUCAGAACUCCGAAGUUAAGCGUGCUUGAGUGAGAGUAGUACUAGGAUGGGUGACCUCCUGGGAAGUCCUCGUGUUGCGUUCC